UUUUGAGGAGAUUUCAUUUAUGAGUUUGAUUAUUCUAUAAAGUGCAUUUGAAGUUUAAAUGAUUUAGUUAAUGCAUACUUUAUUAUCAGAAUUUCUACUGCAAUGAUACCCUAAGUGAAUGUGUCAAUUGUUGUUUUAUUUGAUAAAGUGUUACAGAACAUGUAUGUUUUGAAAAGAGAAUGUGUGACAUCCUAUUGAUUAUGUGAAUACUCUGAUUUUAAUGUAUAUUUAUGUGCGGGGGAAGUAGGGUGUUACACUUUGCUUUUU
rnacentral:lncRNA from 1 species